rnacentral:rRNA from 1 species
UACGGAGGAUGCAAGCGUUAUCCGGAAUGAUUGGGCGUAAAGCGUCCGCAGGUGGCUGUGUAAGUCUGCUGUCAAAGAGCGAAGCUCAACUUCGUAAAGGCAGUGGAAACUACACGGCUAGAGUGCGUUCGGGGCAGAAGGAAUUCCUGGUGUAGCGGUGAAAUGCGUAGAGAUCAGGAAGAACACCGGUGGCGAAGGCGCUCUGCUAGGCCGCAACUGACACUGAGGGACGAAAGCUAGGGGAGCGAAUGGG